AGCUUUAUAGUCUAUAAUAAGUGAUAUUAGACUGCAAUUCUAAAGGAGUAAUAAAAUUACUAAGGCUU
rnacentral:tRNA from 1 species